UAAUGAGCGGAGUAAUGAGCGGAGUAAUGAGCGUGUACGUAGUGAAGGUAGUGAAGGUAUGCGUAGUGAAAGUAUGCGUGACGAUACAUUAGUAAACAGUGCAAAAACAAACUUACAAGAUAACAUACCACUUAACGCACAUAAUAGUGAUGACCUAGUAUUUUUACUUCUGAAAUCAAAAGCAAUUAACGAUGUAAAUCGAGCUAUUGAACUAGCCACGAAUGUAUAUAAAAAAAAAAACGUAAGUUUAUAUUGGGGAAACACAUACGAUGUUGCAGAUUAUGAAAUAAGAAAUGAUCCAUUAGUAAAUAAAAGUGGGAAUACUAAAAAUGUAUUUAACAAAAGUAACAAUAAAUUAGACAAAUUCCGUAUUCCGUUAAACGAAUUCGGUGCAUCUCUAUUUUUAUGUGACGUAAAUAAUUCAACUAAAAUUUUAACUAGUAACAUAGAUAAGUUACAAAAAUUAAAAGAACACGAUUUAUGUUAUGUACAUAAUGCAUUAACCUAUACCUGUCUUAAAUUUUUAAAUGAUAGUGGUAAUGAAGAGGAAGAUGUAGAUGAUUUAUUAAAAAAAUAUGAAAAAAAAGAAAAAGUAGAAACAACAAAUAAUAUUAUGACAUUACAGAUAAUGAUUAUUAUUGGAGAAAUGUUUAGAAGUAUAAGAAAAAUGAGAAAAAAUGAAAAAUAUAAUUUAAAAAAAAUAUUACAAACAAAUGUUUUAUCUGAUAUUUAUAAUGAUGUUAGUAUAUAUGAUGAAUAUAUGGAUAUGAACAAUAUUGAUUCUAUUUUUAAAAAAAUAAAAAUAAAAUAUCCUUUAAAUAAUAACAUACUAUUAAAUAAAACAAAUAGAGAAGAAAUAGCUUCUUAUUUUUUAAAUUAUUAUAUUAAAUAUUUAUUUCAUUUUGAUUUUCCAAAUAAUGUUACUAUUAAAUUUGUUAAAAAUAUAUCAGGUUUAACUUUUUAUGAUUAUAAUUUUGACUAUAUAAAAAAUGAUAAUAUUAUAUAUAUCAAUGAAGAUAUAAACAAUUCGUUACUGUUGUCUAGACUUAUACUAGACGAGUGUUUAAAUAUAUAUGAACAAUAUACUACAUAUGUACAUAAAUAUGGUGGGAAUACAGAUAAUAAUACUAUAAAAGAAUCUAAAAGGAAAGCUAAAGAAAUUGUAAAAAACGAUCAGGUUUAUGAUGAAAGUUUAAACGAGUUAAAUCAGGAAAGUAAAGACGUAAUGGAUAAUGAUACUGUUGAACAUAUGGACAAUUAUUCAGAAGAAAAUAUAAAUAGUAAUUACGUAAGUUUAGGAAACGUGCGAGAAGUGGCAACUGUUGGUGGUGGUGGAAAAGUGGAAACUGUUGGGGGUGGCGAAGAAGUGGUGGAUGACAACGUUACAGAUGACAACGUUACAGAUG
ensembl:lncRNA